GCGCCGGGGUCGCACGCGCACACCCGAGGCUAGUUCCCUCGCCGGCGACGACGAUGGAUUCACGGGCGCGGUAGACCCAUGGCCAACCCCGCCACGGGUUGGGCGCAAAGCAAACAGCGUCGGCGCUGCCAUGAUGAAGCGCGCACAGAUCCCUCCACAGCGCGUCGUCGUCACACAGGGUGGACAAACGCCGACACGUCUGCGCGAGGCGGACGACGACGCCCGCGCCGCCGUAUGCGAGCACCGUCAGCAGGACCUCGUCGGGCAGGUCCACAAGUCCCGCGGGCAUAACACGACAAAAGGAACAACAACAGAAAAAAAGAGUGCGUCUGUGGUUUCCCCUCUCGGGUGUGUCUCUGUUUUGCCAGCGGCGCGCAGGAUGGCGCCCGCUCUGCGUCCUCCCUUUUGUGUGCUUUUUUUCCUCUCGAUGUUCGCCGUUUUUCUUUUUUUUUUUAAGGCGCGCGAUGCCCGGCGGGUGGCGCCUGCCUUGGCGCGUCCCACGUUUUUCUUUCGCAUGCCUUUUUCUUUGGUGGAAAGAAACAAAAGAGCAAGAGCCAACAGAGAAAGCAUCUGACGCCAUUUUUUUCCUUUCCUUUACGAGCCUAAUCUUGGGGUGUGGCCACGGCGCCCACAUGGCCGUGCACGACGGUCUCGGCGACGAUCGCAUCCUGCUCCCACCGGCCGGUCUCGGUCCUGCCGUCAGGCCACGUCAGCGUGCCCUGGCCAUGGCGCAUGUCACGUCGGAAUUGGCCGUGGUAAUGGCCUCCGUCAACGUACCGCGCGGUGCCCAUGCCGUGCAUCUUGCCCCGGCGCGCCUCGCCCUCGUACACGACGCCCCACUCGUCGGUAAACCGCACGGCGCCGUGCAUCUUAUCGCGACGAAAUUCCCCCCGGCAUAUCUCUUGAUAGUCGCGGUGCACGAUAGAGUGGCCAUGCAGCCGCCCGUUUCUCCAGUAGCCCUGGCGUGUAAACAGACCCCAGUCGGUGCACUCGGUGAUGCGACCGUAACCGUGGGGCAGGCCGUUUGCCCAUUCGCCAGCAUAAGUGCCGGCUUCGUGGCGAUCGUACCACGACGAACCCAACGCGAGAGCCGGCGUCACACAAGAGUGGAAGAUGUGGGCGCGGUAGAGCCAACGCCAGUUCCAAUGCGGAUGCGGCACAAAGUGUUCCAUGUCGGGGUCGUCUUUUUGGACGCACAGGCCCUUCCAAAGGUUGUCGUCGCGGGCGAGGCCGGCCAGGAGGCGACAGGUGCACGCAAGGCGCCCCACGACGCCGACGCUGCCAUGCGCCAUGAUCAUCAGGAGCAGUUCGUCGGGCAGGCGCAAGAGACCUGUACGCUCGUACUCAUGCGUCGGCUGGACGGGCACAUCCAUCCGAGACGACGCCCCGCAGGAACUGCCGACGGCGUCGCGACGGCGGCGCUUGUCGCGAGUUCUCUUUCUUGGUCUGGCGCGGCGCCGUUGUUCUUGCAUUUUCUCUCUCUUCUCCUCUCUCUCUCUCUCUCUCUCUCUC
rnacentral:lncRNA from 1 species